rnacentral:rRNA from 1 species
GAGUUUGAUCAUGGCUCAGAUUGAACGCUGGCGGAAUGCUUUACACAUGCAAGUCGAGCGGCAGCGCGGGGCAACCUGGCGGCGAGCGGCGAACGGGUGAGUAAUGUAUCGGAACGUAUCCUUGAGUGGGGGACAACUAGUCGAAAGACUAGCUAAUACCGCAUAAGCUCGGGAGAGGAAAGUGGGGGACCGCAAGGCCUCACGCUGAAGGAGCGGCCGAUAUCCGAUUAGCUAGAUGGUGAGGUAAAGGCUUACCAUGGCUUUGAUCGGUAGCUGGUCUGAGAGGAUGAUCAGCCACACUGGGACUGAGACACGGCCCAGACUCCUACGGGAGGCAGCAGUGGGGAAUCUUGGACAAUGGGCGCAAGCCUGAUCCAGCCAUGCCGCGUGAGUGACGAAGGCCUUAGGGUUGUAAAGCUCUUUUGCCGGGGACGAUAAUGACGGUACCCCGGAGAAUAAGUCCCGGCUAACUUCGUGCCAGCCGCCGCAGU